rnacentral:rRNA from 1 species
UACGUAGGGGGCAAGCGUUGUCCGGAUUUAUUGGGCGUAAAGAGCGUGUAGGCGGCCAGGUAGGUCAGCUGUGAAAACUCGAGGCUUAACCUCGAGACGCCGGCUGAAACCCUCUGGCUAGAGUCCGGAAGAGGAGAGCGGAAUUCCUGGUGUAGCGGUGAAAUGACGCAGAUAUCAGGAAGAACACCUAUGGCGAAGGCAGCUCUCUGGGACGGUACUGACGCUGAGACGCGAAAGCGUGGGGAGCGAACAGG